AUCAGACGCGAAUACCCGCUGAACUUAA
rnacentral:rRNA from 1 species